rnacentral:rRNA from 1 species
CCUACGGGAGGCUGCAGUGAGGAAUCUUGGUCAAUGGACGAGAGUCUGAACCAGCCAAGUAGCGUGAAGGAUGACUACCCUAUGGGUUGUAAACUUCUUUUAUAUGGGAAUAAAAUGUUCCACGUGUGGGAUUUUGUAUGUACCAUAUGAAUAAGGAUCGGCUAACUCCGUGCCAGCAGCCGCGGUAAUACGGAGGAUCCGAGCGUUAUCCGGAUUUAUUGGGUUUAAAGGGAGCGUAGGUGGAUUGUUAAGUCAGUUGUGAAAGUUUGCGGCUCAACCGUAAAAUUGCAGUUGAAACUGGCAGUCUUGAGUACAGUAGAGGUGAGCGGAAUUCGUGGUGUAGCGGUGAAAUGCUUAGAUAUCACGAAGAACUCCGAUUGCGAAGGCAGUUCACUGGACUGCAACUGACACUGAGGCUCGAAAGUGUGGGUAUCAAACAGGAUUAGAUACCCCAGUAGUC